CAAAAACAUCGCCUCUUGCAUACAUUAUAAGAGGUCUUACCUGCCCAGUGACGCAAGUUUAACGGCCGCGGUAUCUUGACCGUGCAAAGGUAGCGUAAUCAAUCGUCUUUUAAAUGGAGACCCGUAUGAAUGGUGAAACGAAAACUCAACUGUCUCAUUCUUUUGACCAAUGAAAUUGAUCUCUCCGUGCGGAAGCGGGGAUAAAAACAUAAGACAAAAAGACCCUGUGGAGCUUCAGAUAAACCAGCUCUAGGUUUUAUUAACAUUAUUUGAUAAUAAACCUUCAACUCUGUUUAUAUCUUAGGUUGGGGCGAUCACGGAGAAAGCACAUCCUCCAUGAAGUAAAACAUAUGUUUUAAUAGCUAAGAGCCACAGCUCUAAGUACUAAAAUAUUUAACUUUAUGAACCGGCUUGCCGAUUAACGAACCCAGUUACCCCAGGGAUAACAGCGCAAUCUCCUUAAAGAGCACUUAUCGCUAAGGG
rnacentral:rRNA from 1 species